rnacentral:rRNA from 1 species
AGCUCCAAUAGCGUAUAUUAAAGUUGUUGCAGUUAAAAAGCUCGUAGUUGGAUUUGUGGUGUAUGCCGGCGGCCCGUCACUAUGUGAUGGAGCUUGCUUGCGUCGCCAUCCUUGGGUGGAUCCUGUGUGGCAUUAAGUUGUCGUGCAGGGGAUGCCCAUCGUUUACUGUGAAAAAAUUAGAGUGUUCAAAGCAGGCUUAUGCCGUUGAAUAUGUUAGCAUGGAAUAAUAAGAUAGGACCUUGGUACUAUUUUGUUGGUUUGCGCACCAAGGUAAUGAUUAAUAGGGACAGUUGGGGGUAUUCGUAUUUCAUUGUCAGAGGUGAAAUUCUUGGAUUUUUGAAAGACGAACUACUGCGAAAGCAUUUACCAAGGAUGUUUUCAUUAAUCAAGAACGAAAGUA